CAUUGGAACACGAAACAACUCAAUGGGGAAUAUAAAGAGGCUGUAACAUCAUAUUUAAGGCGCAUCAGGUUAUAGGGCGCACUGUCGGCUUUUAUGAAAAUUGAAUGCUUUUAGGUGUGCCUUAUAGUUGCGCCUUAUAGUGCGGAAAAUACGGUACAUAUGCUAUUGG